UACAGAGGUCUCAAGCGUUGUUCGGAUUCAUUGGGCGUAAAGGGUGCGUAGGCGGCGCGGUAAGUCGGGUGUGAAAUCUCGGAGCUUAACUCCGAAACUGCAUUCGAUACUGCGGUGCUUGAGGACUGGAGAGGAGACUGGAAUUCAUGGUGUAGCAGUGAAAUGCGUAGAGAUCAUGAGGAAGACCAGUGGCGAAGGCGGGUCUCUGGACAGUUCCUGACGCUGAGGCACGAAGGUCAGGGGAGCAAACGGG
rnacentral:rRNA from 1 species